AUAUAUUUAGGGGCAAUACUGUGAUCAAGAAGGUGGUUACCCUAGGGUGAGCCUUUACCAUUGCACGCUUUUGUUGGGUUCAUCCCGUGAUUUCACCAAAUGUGAGAAAGUGAACUGUGUAAUUUGUGGUAGUGGGGAUCUGCAUUCAUGUAGUGCCCUU